UACGUAGGGGGCAAGCGUUGUUCGGAAUUACUGGGCGUAAAGGGCGCGUAGGCGGCACGGCAAGUCGGGAGUGAAAGGCCUGGGCUCAACCGAGGAACUGCUUUCGAGACUGCCGAGCUAGAGUGCGGAAGGGGCAACAGGAAUUCCCAGUGUAGCGGUGAAAUGCGUAGAUAUUGGGAAGAACACCGGAGGCGAAGGCGGGUUGCUGGGCCGACACUGACGCUGAGGCGCGAAAGCCAGGGGAGCAAACGGG
rnacentral:rRNA from 1 species